UACGUAGGGUGCAAGCGUUAAUCGGAAUUACUGGGCGUAAAGCGUGCGCAGGCGGUUCGGAAAGAGAGGUGUGAAAUCCCCGGGCUUAACCUGGGAACUGCGUUUGAAACUGGAAGGCUUGAGUGUGGCAGAGGGGGGUGGAAUUCCACGUGUAGCAGUGAAAUGCGUAGAGAUGUGGAGGAACACCGAUGGCGAAGGCAGCCCCCUGGGCUAACACUGACGCUCAUGCACGAAAGCGUGGGGAGCGAACGGG
rnacentral:rRNA from 1 species